rnacentral:lncRNA from 1 species
CUGGGCGAAAACAUCUGCUGGUUUGGGAACUGAUCGCUGGACCGUUCGCGCAAAAGAGAGUUUGUUCCUUUUCGCCUCAGUGCUAGGGCUAGAUAUUCCAUGCAGCGUCGAUUUGACAAGAGCUUCGGAAUGACUCUUGCUGUUCUCAAAAGCGGGUUUGAGAGUGGAACUCGAGGGAACCUCCGAGGGAACCUCCGAGGGCCGAGUUUGGUUCUUACCGGAAGAAGCAGGCAAAGGCCUUACAAAGUUGUUGGAGAUUGGAGGAAAAUCUAAAGUCAUGGAAGCAGGCGGGGUAGGGUUGCUCAUGUAAUCCAAAGGAAAUCUUACUUGGGCAACAGCAGAAUUCAAACACGAUAACUAAAAACAGCAAAUGCUCGAUUUAUCCGAAUAGAGCACGAUGAAUGAACCAGAUCGAGCAAAAUCGAGCCAAACAAACAACGAAAAAAAGAAGAAGGAAAACAAACUGAAUAAACGAUGCACCUCAACAAAAAAUAAAAGACUUUUCAAGCUUACAAGGGUUUUCGAUCGGGGAGAGAGGACGAGAACCGCAUCAUCCGUUCCGGAGGAUUGACGGAGGCUGCGGAGGACGUCCAGACGCCGCGUCGUUGUUCUCGAUGGACUGCUGGGUCCGCCGCUGUGGUCCGGCGAAGCCGCACCAGACCAGCAGGGGGUCGAGGUGCAGCAGGCGCACAGUGUUCGAUCGACGUCAAACGUCUGGAGGCUGCGGUGGGGAGCGCACCAGUCCGGCCGUGAGUGGAGAGUGAAGCCGAGAGCAGCGGCGCUCAGCUCACGAUCGGACGCCGUGUCGUCUGGAGCGGAGUGGAGGAGCGCACCAGUCCGGUCUUGAGUGGAGAGCGGAGUCGAGAGCAGCGGCGCUGUGUGGAGGGGCGGAGUCGAGAGCAGCGGCGCACCACUCACGAUCUAGAGCAGCGGCGCUGCGUGGAGGGGCGGAGUCGACUCCUGUGUGGAGAGCCGGAGUCGAGAGCAGCGGCCUUGAGUGGAGAGCGGAUUCUGGAGCAGCGGCGCCCCACUCACGAUCGGAGCAAGUCAACGGCGGCGGCAGCUGAGGGGCCGAACGCCGUGUGGCGGUGGGGACGGUCCGGACGCCGGCAGAUGGGAAACGGAGGGCGUAAAGGUNA